AUUGAACGCUGGCGGCAUGCCUUACACAUGCAAGUCGAACGGUAACAGGUCUUCGGAUGCUGACGAGUGGCGAACGGGUGAGUAAUACAUCGGAACGUGCCUAGUAGUGGGGGAUAACUACUCGAAAGCGUGGCUAAUACCGCAUGAGAUCUAAGGAUGAAAGCAGGGGAUCGCAAGACGUUGUGCUACUAGAGCGGACAAUGGCAGAUUAGGUAGUUGGCGGGAUAAAAGCUUACCAAGCCGACGAUCUGUUGCUGGUCUGUGAUGACGAUCAACCACACAGGACUGAGAAACGGCCCAUACUUGUCCGGGAGGCAGCAGUGGGGAAUUUUGGACAAUGGGCACAAGCCUGAUCCAGCGAUGCCGCGUGCAGGAUGAAGGCCUUCGGGUUGUAAACUGCUUUUGUACGGAACGAAAAGCCCCGGGUUAAUACCCUGGGGUCAUGACGGUACCGUAAGAAUAAGCACCGGCUAACUACGUGCCAGCAGCCGCGGUAA
rnacentral:rRNA from 1 species